ACUAGGACAUCAGCAGAGGACCUGAUGACUCUGGCCAUCUGCAAGCUGGAGAAGCUGGAAGCUGGUAGUAUGGCUCAGGCCAAGUUUGAAGAUCUCAGACCCAGGGAAGCUGAUGGAAUUCUCAGUCGACAACCAAAGGUCUGAGAACCUGGAGUCAUUGGGGUAAGUCUCAGAGUCCAGAGGCCAGACAGCCUGGAGUUUUGAAGUCCAGGGGCAGGAGAGGAUGACAUCCUGGCCACAGAAGAGAGAUCCCAUGAAUUUGUCAUUUCUCUGACUUUUUGUUGAUCUGGACCCUCUGCUGAUUAGGUGGUGCCCACUCAUAUAGGGUGAGGAUGGAUCCUCCAUACUGAGUCCACUGAUUCAAAUGCCAGUGGAAACAUUUCAGUCAUCUGGAAACACCCUCACAGACACACCCAGAAAUAACACUUUACCAGCCAUCUGGGUAUCCCCUAACCCAGCCAAGUUGAUCCCGAGCAGCAGCUCUCGCCAGUAUUCCUUCAGCGUCACCUGCAGCGUCGUCCCUCCCCCACACUAACAAGGGCACAUAUGUUCCGUGGGCGUCAGCAUUCCUCAUCACUCACGUCUCUGCUGAUUGCCUGGCUCGGCUUCCUCUCAUGGAAGAAGGAUGUCCCACCUUUGUGUUCCCUGGAGCUUGCCAAGCGAGCACGUUGCCAGAGACACCGUGGGAGAGGGAGAGCCUCGGGAGGAGGACAGAGUUUGAAUCAAGAAGCUCCUCCACUGACCUGGCCCUUAA